AGUGAACGCUGGCGGUAGGCCUAACACAUGCAAGUCGAACGGCAGCACAGUAAGAGCUUGCUCUUACGGGUGGCGAGUGGCGGACGGGUGAGGAAUACAUCGGAAUCUACUUUUUCGUGGGGGAUAACGUAGGGAAACUUACGCUAAUACCGCAUACGACCUACGGGUGAAAGCAGGGGAUCUUCGGACCUUGCGCGAUUGAAUGAGCCCAUGUCGGGUUAGCUAGUUGGCGGGGUAAAGGCUCACCAAGGCGACGGUCCGUAGCUGGUCUGAGAGAUUGAUCCGCUACAUUGGAUAUGAGCCACGUUCCAGACUCCUACGCGAGGCGGCCGUCGGGAGUAUUGGUCAAUGCGCGCAAGCCUAAUCCAGCAAUACCGCGCGGAUGAAGAUGCCCUCCGGAUGGUAAAGCCCUUUUGUUGGGAAAGAAGAGCAGCUCGUUAAUCCCCCGCUGUUCUGACGGUACCCAAAGAAUAAGCACCGGCUAACUUCGUG
rnacentral:rRNA from 1 species